rnacentral:rRNA from 1 species
UACAGAGGUCCCGAGCGUUGUUCGGAUUCACUGGGCGUAAAGGGUGCGUAGGUGGUGAGGUAAGUCGGAUGUGAAAGCUCCAAGCUCAACUUGGAAAUGGCAUUGGAAACUACCUUGCUAGAGGGUUGAGGGGGACUGGAAUACUUGGUGUAGCAGUGAAAUGCGUAGAUAUCAAGUGGAACACCAGUGGCGAAGGCGAGUCCCUGGAAAACUCCUGACACUGAGGCACGAAAGCUAGGGGAGCAAACAGG